CCUGGCCCACUGCACGCUGGCUGACCUGCCCGCUCGCCCCACGGACAGCUGCUCCCCUCCUUCGCCCGGGACCCAAGGCCCGGCCCUUCGGCCGGAUGGAUGGACGGAUAUUGGCCCCGGCAGAUGGACAGGCGGACGGUCGGUCGGCUGCCGGCCGGCUCCUGGAACCUGGGCCCCUCCAUACUACCCAUUUCCUGGGCCCUCCCGAUCCAGGAAACAAGACGGGCGGGGCGUGGGCCGGCCAGGAGCCCUCAAGACAGUCCCGGGGCGCGGCGCCGCCCAGAGGGGGCAAGAACCCGUGUCCCGAGGUAGAGAGAAAAAGCAACGGAGACAAAGCAAGCCGACUGGUCCCCAUGCGCACGCUCCAGCCCGAACGUGCACCCACCGCUCCAGCCCGAACGUGCACCCACCUCACCUCACUGUCUCGGGGGGCUUCUCCUGGCCUGAGAGGGACCUGGCGGGGAAGGCAUCCAAGCGGAAGCGGAAUCCUGACACCUUGGCUGCAGGUCCUGGGCCCCUCCCCCGUCCCCGCCUCUGCCUGGACCCCUCCUCACCUCUCCUCCCUGCCCGCCCCACCCCCACCCCCCACCCCGGUGCCCCAAGCCCGGCCACCCCCUCCCCCUCCCCCUAGCCCGGCCACCCCACACCCACCCCGACCCCCUCCCCUGCCAGCCUCAGGGCCCUGCCUCCUGCCCCAGGCCCAGCCCAAGCCCCUUCCUUGCGAAAGCCGCCUCUUCAGCAGGGCCUCUCUCUGAUCU
ensembl:lncRNA